rnacentral:rRNA from 1 species
CGUGCCAGCAGCCGCGGUAAUACGUAGGGUGCGAGCGUUAAUCGGAAUUACUGGGCGUAAAGCGUGCGUAGGCGGCAUGGUCAGUCGGAUGUGAAAGCCCCGGGCUUAACCUGGGAAUUGCAUUCGAUACUGCCAAGCUAGAGUAUGUUAGAGGAAAGUGGAAUUCCCGGUGUAGCGGUGAAAUGCGUAGAUAUCUGGAGGAACACCAAUGGCGAAGGCAGCUAUCUGGGAUACAACUGACGCUGAGGUACGAAAGCGUGGGGAGCAAACAGGAUUAGAUACCCU